GACAGAGGGUGCAAACGUUGUUCGGAAUUACUGGGCGUAAAGCGUGUGUAGGCGGUUCGGUAAGUCGGAUGUGAAAGCCCCGGGCUCAACCCGGGAAGUGCACUCGAUACUGCCGAGCUAGAGUAUCGGAGAGGUUGGUGGAAUUCUCGGUGUAGAGGUGAAAUUCGUAGAUAUCGAGAGGAACACCGGUGGCGAAGGCGGCCAACUGGACGAAUACUGACGCUGAGACUCGAAAGCGUGGGGAGCAAACAGG
rnacentral:rRNA from 1 species